ensembl:lncRNA
CUGGCUUCCCUGGGAAUUUGGCCAUGGGGAUGUGCUGGAAGGCAACUGGAAAGCAGGAUACAGCAGGACCUGACUCUUCUGCAGGCUACAGACUGGACCUCAGGACACUUCAAUGAAUAUAUUUUUAAAAAACUAUCAUAUUCUGGUGCUUAUGUUGUUUAUAGGUCUUCAGUGGAAGACAGACAAUGCUCUGCCCGCUUGUUCACCUUCUACAUAGCAUAUCAACACAAUCCAACAUGGCCAUAGCGCAUCUCAAGGUUUAAAAACUUCACGCAGGGACCAACAUUAGACAUAAUAAACUUAAAGCAUAG